UACGAGAGGCCCAAACGUUAUUCGGAAUUACUGGGCUUAAAGAGUUCGUAGGCGGCGCAGAAAGUAGGGUGUGAAAGCCCUCGGCUCAACCGAGGAAUUGCGCUCUAAACUACUGUGCUUGAGGAAUCUAGAGGUGAGCGGAACUGAUGGUGGAGCGGUGAAAUGCGUUGAUAUCAUCAGGAACACCGGGAGGCGAAGGCGGCUCACUGGGGAUUUUCUGACGCUGAGGAACGGAAAGCCAGGGGAGCGAACGGG
rnacentral:rRNA from 1 species